GCAGCAGCAACCGGCCCCUUUGGCUGUGCAGUGGAGCCGCACCAGGAUUGCUUCUUUCUGAAUAGUUGGCAAAUGGCUAGAGACUGGUUUGCUCUUUGCAUUACAGCAUCGAGGGCUUGUAGGUCACAAUCACACUGGUUAUUUCUUCAAGCUUUAUCAAACCCAGUAACCAAUUCCCUCUGGCGGCUGCAGCCCCCUGGUCUAUCCCUGCAUCUUGGAGUCCCACCUAGGGCUCUAGAGGUGAUCCUGGCAAUUACAGACAGCAUUAAUAAUAUUUACAGAACUGAUGCUGAGUCACACUUCCUUCAAUUGGCAAUUUGGGUUCAGAACUUUUGGGGUCCUGGGUAGAUACCAGCCCAUCAAUCUGACCAGCUGUGGCCAAUUAUCCUUUGGGUGUCACAAGAGAAUUCUCUAUGGCAUCAGGAGUUCAAGGUCACAGAUUCAUAGAUUCCCAGGCCAAAAGGGACCAUUGUGAUCUUCUUGUCUGACGUCCUGUAUAAUACAAUGCAUAGAAUUUCACCCAGGGAUUUCUACCUUGAUCCUAAUAGCUGUGGUUGAACUAGAUUAUAGUGAUGAGAACUAGAUAAGUUGUUCCAAUGGUUAACAAUCUUCUCUGAAAGUGUCCCCCUGUAAUAUCCAAGCCUUAACCGGGGGAUGCUCACAGAAAUUACAGAUUUUUCUCCCACCGACAAAACUGAUGGUUUUCAGUCAAAACCAGGAUCCAAUUUUUCAUGAAUAACCCAAGCCCUUCAAGGAUUUUCCUCAAUAAAUAGAGACCAAAAUGGCUUUCUGUCCCUUAGAUCUACUUGAGUAAACAAUAGGAAUACCCUCCAUUGUUUGUUCUGCAGUGUACUGACCCCAU